rnacentral:rRNA from 1 species
GACGAACGCUGGCGGCGUGCCUAAUACAUGCAAGUUGAGCGCUGAAGGUUGGUACUUGUACCAACUGGAUGAGCAGCGAACGGGUGAGUAACGCGUGGGGAAUCUGCCUUUGAGCGGGGGACAACAUUUGGAAACGAAUGCUAAUACCGCAUAAAAACUUUAAACACAAGUUUUAAGUUUGAAAGAUGCAAUUGCAUCACUCAAAGAUGAUCCCGCGUUGUAUUAGCUAGUUGGUGAGGUAAAGGCUCACCAAGGCGAUGAUACAUAGCCGACCUGAGAGGGUGGUCGGCCACAUUGGGACUGAGACACGGCCCAAACUCCUACGGGAGGCAGCAGUAGGGAAGCUUCGGCAAUGGACGAAAGUCUGACCGAGCAACGCCGCGUGAGUGAAGAAGGUUUUCGGAUCGUAAAACUCUGUUGGUAGGGAAGAACGUUGGUGAGAGUGGAAAGCUCAUCAAGUGACGGUAACUACACAGAAAGGGACGGCUAACUACGUG